AAGACAGAAACGAAUGACUGUCAUGCUAUCUUUGAACUUAAUUUAUUACCUUGAUUGAUUCUCUUGACAACAUAAUGCAAGAAAUGUAUUCUCUAGCAGGUAUGCUACAAUCAAGACACAAAGAAUCAUGAUUUAAUUCCUUGAAUCCACUUCGGAUUCUGAGCCAAACACACAAAUUCAAUUAGCAUCUUUUCUAGACUAUAAUACAGCCUUUCCAUUGUUGUUCAAGAUCCAGCCUUUAAACUUUGAUUCUCACUCCACAGAUCAAGUGAAGAGGGAUUGGUGGCCAGCUCCUAAGCUGAUUUUAAAUUCAGAUUUAUAGGUCAAUUUUCAAGGAUUUGAUUUUCAUUAAAAUAUUGGUGAUUGUUUCCAUUCAUAAAAGGAAUGAACAGAGAUACCAAAUGGGAGAGGGAGAUCGAUAAAAAAAAGAAAAAGAAAAAGAAAAGAAAAGGGGGAAGACACAAGGGAAACAGUAUAUACAGGCUGACCCAAACCAGUCCCCAUAAUCGUGAACCAGGCCGACCCACAUCGUCCUCCAACUCUCACGCUGUUGUCUCCUCUUCCAUUCGCUAACCACCAAGAGAAACAACCUCGAUCCAGCCACAUAGCAGUAGUGAGAAUUUCGAACCUAACCGCCACUCCAAGCGACCAGGUGACGGUGAGAUUCACCGAUAGCAUAAAAAGAAAGAGGAAGAAAAGCCGUUUCAGAUCCACCAAUUUUCCCUUUUCACUGGCAGCGAUGCGUGGAUCCACGCGCCGGCAGUAGCUGGUAGCGUGUAGAGCCCACACGCCGCCACUAUUCUCGAACCUCAGUGUAUCCCAGCAACUUCUCCAACCAUGAGUACCCUGUCCCAAAGGUGUUCUGCAAAUUUGAAAUGUGUUUUCGACAUUUGCAUAAAAACUUUGUAUUUCAUUUCCAUGCAAAUUGUUUUUGCUUGAUAAUAAGUUUAUCAAGAACAUUAAAAGAUUUGGCCUAAAUAAAUUGACCCAUUAAG